CAAAAGACAAGUAACGGAAAUUAAAGAGAAGUGAAUAUGAGAAGUUUCGGAGAGGUGGUCUUAUAACAGACGUCAUACUUACAUAUACACACACUGACACAUCACACAUACCGACAUAGAUCAGGAAGUGUUCUGUCACUCCGGCGCUGAUUGUGCAGACUGCCGUGACUGCUGCUGUCUGACUGCGUUUAUACCACAGCUACAUCGGCGGUAUGACCAUCAUCUAACAACACCUGCUGAGGAUUUCUGCCCUACUGGACAAAACACAUGGACACAGACACAUUCAGGCAGCAUGGGCUCCAGACUGAAACAAAACCCUGAGCGAACCUUCAACUGGUUCUUCGAAGCAACGUGCCCCGUAGCCACAGACAAAGAUCCUGGCGUACUGUUUCAGUUUCCAGAGGACUUCAGUGAUGAGGUAGUCACUCGUGUCUCCUACAAGCCUACAACAUUUGUGCACAUGCUGUCACAUUAAAAUGAUCGGCGUGGAUUGUUUUUCACCAUGUUAGCGGUGUGGCUCUAGGGAUUGCAACGUUGGUUGGCUGAUCGCUCUGCCACUUUUCGAUUCGAACUGAAAUAUCUCAACAACUGUUGGAUGCCAUUAAGUUUGUACAAACAUUCAUGGUCCUCAGAGGAUGAACCCUACUGACUUGCACGAGCCCCUGGCUUUUCCUCUAGUGUAGUUGUGAGUGAAAUGUCUAAAGAGCUAUUGGAUGGAUUGGCACGAAAAACACUGCAGACAUUCCAUCACGAUGAAUUGGUCACAUAUUUUUCCCAGCUUUGGUUCCCAUUGGUAUCAGCUGUACACUGUGUUAAAUGCUGAUUUGAAAAAGUUAGCGAGCAAACACGCUCAACUAAGAUAGCAGCCAUGGGAAAUAAUGCCUGCCUGACAUUAAGAUUGUCAUUGUGAAUAUGUUAGAAUUCUGCAUGCAGCUCAGAGAGCCACUGAGACAACUCAAGCACGUUGUGAUUGUGACUGCAUUGUUGGUCUUAUUCUUAGAAAGUCAUGAUCAGGGUUGCUUCAGGAACGUAAUUCCAAG
rnacentral:lncRNA from 1 species